AUUGAACGCUGGCGGCAGGCCUAACACAUGCAAGUCGAACGAGUGGCGGACGGGUGAGUAAUGUCUGGGAAACUGCCUGAUGGAGGGGGAUAACUACUGGAAACGGUAGCUAAUACCGCAUACCAUCGGAUUUGCCCAGAUGGGAUUAGCUAGUAGGUGGGGUAAAGGCUCACCUAGGCGACGAUCCCUAGCUGGUCUGAGAGGAUGACAAGCAAAACUGGAACUGAGACACGGUCCAGACUCCUACGGGAGGGAGCAGUGGGGAAUAUUGCACAAUGGGCGCAAGCUUGAUGCAGACAGGCCGGGUGUAUGAAGAAGGCCUUCGGGUUGUAAAGUACUUUCAGCGGGGAGGCGUUACCCGCAGAAGAAGCACCGGCUAACUCCGUGCCAGCAGCCGCGGUAAUUC
rnacentral:rRNA from 1 species